rnacentral:lncRNA from 1 species
CUGAUCACAGAGGACUACCAGGCUGAGCUGAAGGAGGUGUUUGCGGCCGACAUGCAGCUGGCUGAGGAGCUGGAGUUUGGCCUGAAGCAGUACCAGAAACAGCAGGGGGGGGACGCCCUGGAGCACCAGCUGCAGCGCCUCACCUUCACCAAGACCACCCCUCAUCCUGCCACUCGUAAAAGUCGCCGUGGCCCACGUGCCUCUGCACCAUCUGAUCAAGGCUUCACUCCUGGCCGCGCUCCUGCCUCUGUUCCAUCCAGCUCAAACCCCACUGGGCUGCCAAGGCUAUCUGAAGGUAGAGAGACCAGUGAUGCACAGCUGUCAGUAGACACAUCUGUUUCAGCAGGUGAGGUGGACAUGCACACAUGCAAUGGGCUAUUUGGCAAAAGAUCUCAGUUCUAAAUUAGUAUU